GACGAACGCUGGCGGCGUGCCUAAUACAUGCAAGUUGAGCGCUGAAGGUUGGUACUUGUACCAACUGGAUGAGCAGCGAACGGGUGAGUAACGCGUGGGGAAUCUGCCUUUGAGCGGGGGACAACAUUUGGAAACGAAUGCUAAUACCGCAUAAAAACUUUAAACACAAGUUUUAAGUUUGAAAGAUGCAAUUGCAUCACUCAAAGAUGAUCCCGCGUUGUAUUAGCUAGUUGGUGAGGUAAAGGCUCACCAAGGCGAUGAUACAUAGCCGACCUGAGAGGGUGAUCGGCCACAUUGGGACUGAGACACGGCCCAAACUCCUACGGGAGGCAGCAGUAGGGAAGCUUCGGCAAUGGACGAAAGUCUGACCGAGCAACGCCGCGUGAGUGAAGAAGGUUUUCGGAUCGUAAAACUCUGUUGGUAGAGAAGAACGUUGGUGAGAGUGGAAAGCUCAUCAAGUGACGGUAACUACCCAGAAAGGGACGGCUAACUACGUG
rnacentral:rRNA from 1 species